CACCGAUUCGGCCGCUGAUCCAAACGGUCGUGGCUUAAACCUUACAGAAUUUAAACUCAGUGAGUAAAGAUUAAAGUUUAUUUCUGUUCCUAGCAUGUCAUAUCGUCUGGGCAACAUUUAUGAAGAAAGAAAGUCAUGCGGCUUUGAAACACCGUGAGGAUCUCUUGCCCUGCCUGUCUAGAGAAUGCCAGGCUGUUGCCGUGGUAACCAGGACACGUUUGUGCUGCGAGCUCCUCCAUCCCUGCUGAGCCCCACAGUACAGAAAAAGAGCAAGACGGUAUUGCACAACACCGGCGGGAAAACAUCGAGAAAGACCCAUGCAGAGUCACGGGAGACCAUCUGAGAGAGAGCGUUUUGUCUGUACACUGACUGCUGUUCUGUAAAUAGUUACAAAUAUAUAUAUAUUUGUAACUAUUAUGAAUAUAUGUUAUGUUAUGUUAUAUUUGUUUUCCUGAUUUUAUGUGAAAUUGGCCAGAAGAAGAAUAAGAGGAGUAUAGGUUAUUUUUGUGUUAGACGGUAUUAUGAAAAGCUAAAAUGUAUGUUUUUGGAACCUCAUUAAGUAUAUUUUUUUGGUUUGAUUUAUUUUACAAUGCAACUACAGUAUUACAACUAGUAGGGAUGUAGAGAAACUAGUAGGAAAAAAUUACAGUAGAACAAAUUAAUAAGCAAAAUUUUAUCAAACGCUCUUCACUGUGUAAAUUAAAUGAAUAUUUCUUCUUAUUAAAGUUACAAAUGACAGACACCAGAAAAAUUAGACUGCAGUCACUUUAAGAGCCGCCCAGAUCCAUUAUAAAGUUGCACAUUUGUUGUCUUUCUCAGCUGUUCCACUUAAGCCCUAAUUACUGUGUUUAUGAGGAUACUUGUAAAGAUGGAAUUUUGACACAUACAAGUGUGUGUAUGUAACAGUUCAAGGCCUAUAAAGCAGCAAAAAUAACUCUUGACAGUGCACAUAAACAGCCUCUCAAGCUGUGUGCACAUAUAUCGAAAUGUUUUCCAUCAGAUUUGAAGAACCAGUUUAUAGUUUUUGUGAAGUUUAGGCUUCCAAUCAGUGUUUUCAGUGUACCAGUUAAUCGUGUAUAUCACCUACCCUUUUUUAACACUGGGUACAAAAAAGUACCAUGUAGCACCUUGGUAAUCCCAUGCAUUUUUCUAACGUUCUUCAAGGCGUCUUGAUGUACAAUUUAAAUUUAUUGUUCCAAAACUAUGUAUGUUUUUGAUAUUAUAAUGUUAACACCACGUUUUCUGGACAUAGCUACACGGUACCAUGUAAAAUACCAUGUUAUAGUACACAAAUGUCACAGUAAGUUGCAUUUGUUGUUCAUGUACUAGUUAUUUGAUACCAUGGUAAUGUCACUUUGGGCAAGUUUUUUGAAGAAACAUAGUGCACGAACAUGGCUAUAUUUUAUUACCAUCUGAUAUCCCUGUAUUUGCAAUCUAAA